rnacentral:rRNA from 1 species
CCCUUAGACGUUCUGGGCCGCACGCGCGCUACACUGACCAGUGCAACAAGCAUCCGUCCUUGGCCGACAGGCCCGGGCAAUCUUUGAACGCUGGUCGUGAUGGGGAUAGACUUUUGCAAUUUUUGGUCUUCAACGAGGAAUUCCUAGUAAACGCAAGUCAUCAACUUGCAUUGAUUACGUCCCUGCCCUUUGUACACACCGCCCGUCGCUCCUACCGAUUGGGUGUGCUGGUGAAAUGUUCGGAUCGGCCGUUUGUCGCGGUUUCCGCGUCAUGUGGCUGAGAAGUUCAUUAAACCCUCCCACCUAGAGGAAGGAGAAGUCGUAACA